rnacentral:rRNA from 1 species
GACGAACGCUGGCGGCGUGCUUAACACAUGCAAGUCGAGCGGUAAGGCCUUUCGGGGUACACGAGCGGCGAACGGGUGAGUAACACGUGGGUGAUCUGCCCUGCACUCUGGGAUAAGCUUGGGAAACUGGGUCUAAUACCGGAUAUGACYRCAKSMYGCMUGKKKUGUGGUGGAAAGAUUUAUCGGUGCAGGAUGGGCCCGCGGCCUAUCAGCUUGUUGGUGGGGUAAUGGCCUACCAAGGCGACGACGGGUAGCCGACCUGAGAGGGUGACCGGCCACACUGGGACUGAGACACGGCCCAGACUCCUACGGGAGGCAGCAGUGGGGAAUAUUGCACAAUGGGCGGAAGCCUGAUGCAGCGACGCCGCGUGAGGGAUGAAGGCCUUCGGGUUGUAAACCUCUUUCAGCAGGGACGAA